rnacentral:rRNA from 1 species
AGUGAACGCUGGCGGUAGGCCUAACACAUGCAAGUCGAACGGCAGCACAGUAAGAGCUUGCUCUUACGGGUGGCGAGUGGCGGACGGGUGAGGAAUACAUCGGAAUCUACUUUUUCGUGGGGGAUAACGUAGGGAAACUUACGCUAAUACCGCAUACGACCUACGGGUGAAAUCAGGGGACCUUCGGACCUUGCGCGAUUGAAUGAGCCGAUGGCGGAUUAGCUAGUUGGCGGGGUAAAGGCCCACCAAGGCGACGAUCCGUAGCUGGUCUGAGAGGAUGAUCAGCCACACUGGAACUGAGACACGGUCCAGACUCCUACGGGAGGCAGCAGUGGGGAAUAUUGGACAAUGGGCGCAAGCCUGAUCCAGCCAUACCGCGUGGGUGAAGAAGGCCUUCGGGUUGUAAAGCCCUUUUGUUGGGAAAGAAAAGCAGCAGGUUAAUACCCCGCUGUUCUGACGGUACCCAAAGAAUAAGCACCGGCUAACUUCGUG